rfam:Brassica rapa chromosome A9, whole genome shotgun sequence.
GGGAAAUGAGGAGUGGUCAAUACUCGCUAUUUUAUGCGGGAAGAGCGUUUCGCUCAGCCUGUUACGACAAUUGAGCGCUCUCAUUUGUUUUACCUUCUGAUCCC